rnacentral:lncRNA from 1 species
UUCCCCGUGUUUCCUGAUCCUGCCCUGGGUCUGCAGUCAUAGUUCUGGAAACUUCUCUUGGGUCCAAGACUAGGAGGUUCCCCUAAGAUCGCAUGGCCCUGCCUCCUCCCUGUCCCCUCACAGGGCAUUUUCUUCCCACAGGUGGAAAAGGAGGGAGCUGCUCUCAGGCUGCGUGUAAGUGAUGGCGGUGGGCGUGUGGAGGAGCUCACCCACCCCAUAAUUCCUCUUGUCCCACAUCUCCUGCGGGCUCUGACCAGGUCUUUUUUUUUGUUCUACCCCAGCCAGCAACAGUGCCCAGGGCUCUGAUGAGUCUCUCAUCGCUUGUAAAGCCUGAGACAGCUGCCUGUGUGGGACUGAGAUGCAGGAUUUCUUCACACCUUUCCUUUGUGACUUCAAGAGCCUCUGGCAUCUCUUUCUGCAAAGGCAUCUGAAUGUGUCUGCGUUCCUGUUAGCAUAAUGUGAGGAGGUGGAGAGACAGCCCACCCCCGUGUCCACCGUGACCCCUGUCCCCACACUGACCUGUGUUCCCUCCCCGAUCAUCUUUCCUGUUCCAGAGAAGUGGGCUGGAUGUCUCCAUCUCUGUCUCAACUUUACGUGUACUGAGCUGCAACUUCUUACUUCCCUACUGAAAAUAAGAAUCUGAAUAUAAAUUUGUUUUCUCAAAUAUUUGCUAUGAGAGGUUGAUGGAUUAAUUAAAUAAGUCAAUUCCUGGAAGUUGAGAGAGCAAAUAAAGACCUGAGAACCUUCCAGAA